UGAGGAGUGGUCUAAUGGUAUGACAUCGCUCUUUGAAAGCGAAAAUGCAGGUUCGAUCCCUGCCCCCUCAG
rnacentral:tRNA from 1 species